rnacentral:rRNA from 1 species
UACGGAGGGUGCGAGCGUUGUCCGGAAUCAUUGGGCGUAAAGCGCGCGUAGGCGGCCAGAUAAGUCCGGUGUGAAAGUCACAGGCUCAACCUGUGAAUGCCGCUGGAAACUGUCUGGCUAGAGUCCGGAAGGGGCGAGUGGAAUUCCUGGUGUAGCGGUGAAAUGCGCAGAUAUCAGGAGGAACACCAAUGGCGAAGGCGGCCUUCUGGGAUGAUCCUGACGCUCAGACACGAAAGCUAGGGGAGCGAACGGG